AGUAAGAGUUGAGCAGAAGAGCGAUGGAAUCAUGCAUAUGUUACCCCCAGUCAGCCGUCCCCGUGAAGAUUUAGCUUGAAGAUUAGUUAUUGUGUUACGAUUCUCUGAUGAUGAUGGCUCCAGAUGCCUCCUAGAUGGAUUCAAGGGUGAUGGUAAGCACAAAUGUGAAGGUAAGAGACAUUUCCCAAGACCCAUUAAUCUUUCUAGAAGUGUUUUUCUACCCUCUACAGAGCCAUAUCAUAUAUCAUUGGACUUCUUGCACUUCCCUUGCGAUUGCAAUGCUGAUGUGAAACUUUUUGUGACAGAUAUUGAUGAGUGUUAGAAAAAGACUACAUGUCAAUGCAAACUGCUCAUAAGACAAUUGUUUCAUGUUGAUCUGCAUUAGUAGAAUAAUUAGUGUGCACGAUACAAUAUCUUACACUACAUGACUCCAGUUCUUAGCAGACUUCAGUUCUUAGCAGUAGGCAAUGGCAUGUUUUGUGUGACUAUUAGCUGAACAAAAGAAAAGGGUGAGAUAUAUAUUACAGUUUCUAAGUCUAAUACUUGGAUUAGUGCCCUACUUCUUAGUCGCUGGUUUUUAUUUUCAGCGUCCUAUCAUUUGUGAUUUCACUGGAGAUCCUAUUUAAUUACUAAUAAAUAUCAAAUACUUGUUGCUAAAAAUAUAAUGGCCUUUGGAACAAACUAGAAUUACCAUAUUCCUUUUUCCCGUGUUACCAAUGUAGAUCUCAUUGUCGUUGUGAUCCUAAAAAUCGUUGAUCUGACAAUUCUAGAGCAUUUUGGCAUAGCAUGUUGAUCUUUGAUUGAAUUUCCAUGUGCUUCCAACCUUCCAUGUCGCUUAUUGAUGCCAGUUUUUUAGGAUAAUUCAGGAGGUGAGUAUCUGUUACUAUAAGCUACAUAUUUCCCAAGUUUAUUCAGAUACUCCACUUAUUAAUUUUCUUUCCGUGUAGUUACUUUGGUUUAAGACUACUUUAAUAAUUGAAAUACAUGUUUUUACUAACCUCUAAAAUUAGCAAAUAGAAAUAUUCAUGAUAUGGAUUUUAGGUUUAAGUAAUCAAGUAAUUGACACAAAAUUUCAAUCAGUUGCAAAUGAUUUUUCUGAUCUAGAAUUAUGGGAGUAUAUGCAUUUUUUCUGAAAGUAAGGGAUAAUAUAUUUGAAGAACUAACAUUUUGAAUAAAAUAGGAAGAUCCCUCUUAUGCUCUUGUGCUACUGAGGGCAAUAAGCAUAGUAUGGUCUUGACCUUCUGUACCUAAAGAAUAUCUCAUUGGAAUGACACAAAACUUUACAUAUCCAAGAUAUAAGCCAUCACCUUGGCUUGUCAUGCUACAGGUUAUAUUCCCCAUACUUGGGAUCUUAGCAUUGAUUUUUUAUAUGAUUAUUCUCUUCCUGGAAUAUUCAAGGUCUAUUUCAACUUUGUGGUGUCACAAUAGGGAAGGCAGACAUAUAAUUGUGUGAUUGCAUUUGUUUCUACCUAUUGCUUUUCUAACUGAUAUUUAUUGUCCAAUGAUGAUAACCGGUUUAUUUACCUAUAUUCUGGAAAAAUAAUACUAGGUAAUUAGCUCAAAAUAAUAAUAGCAUGUGAGCUACUGUGGACUAACAUAAAUUUUUGUAACAAAGAGAUUCAAUAGUUCUGUUUUCCCAUUUCAAAAGAAAGAUAGCACCAAAGAAAUAAUGUCAUGGGAUAAUUUGUAUUGCUUUAUGCACAUGGCUAUUUAAAUUUUUCACUAGAGGAGAGGUACAUUAUCUAUUAUUUUUAUGUUAGCUUGACAUGUUUUUGUUUCAUUCUUUCUGUUUUCUUCUCAGGAUCUCUCACGAAAUAGAUGAUGAUAUAAUAGGAAAUUCCUAUGUACAGCAAUAGACGGCCCUCAACUUUAACACAUCAUGCUAUCAGUGGCUGCAACGGGAGCAGAUUAUGAAGUGAGCAGGCGACCCAUUUCAUGGUGAGUAGAGAAACCAUGAUUUAUUAUGCUCUGCUGAAUGUGUUUGCUGGCAUAGGAGUGGGACAAGAAGUGAGAGAUAAAUGCAUAUUUCACUCUACCUUAGCCACAUUGGAAGUCUCUAUGAUCUAAAAAUGACGUUGUAUUCAGUUUGUAAUCAACUUAGUGCAAAUUUUGAUUCACCUGAACCUGCAAUAGUUCAGCUUAGAUGCUGUCAACUCAGAAUUUGUAAAGCAUGUUUCCUCUUAAAUCAG